UGGGGAAUUUUGCACAAUGGACGAAAGUCUGAUGCAGCAACGCCGCGUGGAGGAUGAAGGUCUUCGGAUUGUAAACUUCUGUUGAUUAGAAAGAAAGAACGGGAUGGAAUAUAUCUCGUUUAUGACGUUACUAGUCGAGAAAGCCCCGGCUAACUUCGUGCCAGCAGCCGCGGUAAUACAGAGGGGGCAAGCGUUAUUCGGAAUUAUUGGGCGUAAAGGGCGCGUAGGCGGUUUUUUAAGUCAGAUGUGUAAUCCCCGAGCUCAACUUGGGAACUGCAUCUGAGACUGGAAGGCUAGAGUACUGGAGAGGGUGGUGGAAUUCCUCGUGUAGCGGUGAAAUGCGUAGAGAUGAGGAGGAACACCAGUGGCGAAGGCGGCCACCUGGACAGUAACUGACGCUGAGGCGCGAAAGUGUGGGUAGCAAACAGG
rnacentral:rRNA from 1 species